AUCACCUAGGGAUCUUGUUAAAAUGCAGAUUCUGACUCAGCAGAGCUGAAGUGGGCCUGAGAGUCUGCAUUUCUAGCAAGCUCCCAAGCAGUCCAGA
rnacentral:pre_miRNA from 1 species